GAUGAACGCUGGCGGCGUGCCUAAUACAUGCAAGUCGAGCGAACGGACGAGAAGCUUGCUUCUCUGAUGUUAGCGGCGGACGGGUGAGUAACACGUGGAUAAACUAACUAUAAGACUGGGAUAACUUCGGGAAACCGGAGCUAAUACCGGAUAAUAUUUUGAACCGCAUGGUUCAAAAGUGAAAGACGGUCUUGCUGUCACUUAUAGAUGGAUCCGCGCUGCAUUAGCUAGUUGGUAAGGUAACGGCUUACCAAGGCAACGAUGCAUAGCCGACCUGAGAGGGUGAUCGGCCACACUGGAACUGAGACACGGUCCAGACUCCUACGGGAGGCAGCAGUAGGGAAUCUUCCGCAAUGGGCGAAAGCCUGACGGAGCAACGCCGCGUGAGUGAUGAAGGUCUUCGGAUCGUAAAACUCUGUUAUUAGGGAAGAACAUAUGUGUAAGUAACUGUGCACAUCUUGACGGUACCUAAUCAGAAAGCCACGGCUAACUACGUG
rnacentral:rRNA from 1 species